AUGGAUGAAGAGUUUUGUGCCCUUCAGAAAAAUCAUACAUGGCACCUUGUUCCUUCUUCUCCGGUUACCAACCUUAUUGAUUGCAAGUGGGUUUUUCGCAUCAAACGGAAGUCAGAUGGUACCAUUGACCGUUAUAAAGGACGUCUUGUUGCUAAAGGAUUCAAACAGAGGUAUGGGCUUGAUUAUGAGGAUACUUUCAGUCCCGUUAUUAAAGCAGCAACUAUUCGUCUGGUUCUUUCUAUUGCUAUCUCUCGUGGCUGGUGCCUUCGUCAAUUAGUUGUGCAGAACGCGUUUCUUCAUGGUGUUCUGGAAGAGGAAGUAUAUAUGAAAUAA
rnacentral:rRNA from 1 species